rnacentral:rRNA from 1 species
UACGUAGGGUGCGAGCGUUAAUCGGAAUUACUGGGCGUAAAGCGUGCGCAGGCGGCUUUGCAAGACAGAUGUGAAAUCCCCGGGCUCAACCUGGGAACUGCAUUUGUGACUGCAAGGCUAGAGUACGGCAGAGGGGGAUGGAAUUCCGCGUGUAGCAGUGAAAUGCGUAGAUAUGCGGAGAAACACCAAUGGCGAAGGCAAUCCCCUGGGCCUGUACUGACGCUCAUGCACGAAAGCGUGGGGAGCAAACAGG